AAAUUAAAGCAAUUUAACCCUAAUUCAAUCUCUCCCUUCGCUUUCUCUCUCCUCACUUCCAUUACCCUCAAAUCGGUAUAGGUCAGACGCCAUUGCAAGAAAGCUGGCCAAACUAGGUUAUAUGUGCCGACGGGACUUCAGUUCCUCAAAAUGGUAUUACCCUCUUCUCUCUCUAUUUUUUAAUUUUCUUUCCUGAUUUCUGCAAUUGAAUUGACAGAUAGAUUUUCAAUCUCCCUGUAAAUUUCCUCUGUUUGUGGAUGAGAAUUGUCAUGGUAUACAAAUUCUCGUCUCCAAUCAAAUAGUGGCGAAGCCAAAUUAGAUUUCAUCUCUUCUAAUACUAUGUUGAUUCAUCUUCCCCGCCUGCUAUUUCGCCACAAUUGAAGAAGAAGCACGAAAGAGUAGAAGGAAGAACUGCUACUCAAACCGUUGUCGAUCGGAAAGUUUAAUUACCAUGUUUUCACUUCGAUUUGAAAGCUUCCUGGAUUUUUUUUAGCGCACAAAAAAAAUGAGAAAGCCAAGGCAACCCUGCCCUGCCCACUCCCUACUCGUCAGUGAUAUGUUGAACUCAUUCACUCCAAGUAGUUUUUUGUUUUAAGGUUUUUUUCCUUCAUUAUUUCUAGAAUAGGAGCCCUUUGAGAUGAAUUUGAGUCUGUUUGUUUUGUUCCAGGUGAAUUUAGAUCUGGAGUUGUGUUUAUGAGUUUUUUCUUCUUUUUUGUUUCAAAUGCUUUGAUUUAUCUCUCUUCAAUUUGUCGAGUAACUUGGGUAUUAGGGUUAUUGAUAUUGUUUCUGAUUUUGGUUUGAUUCAUGAUGAUGUGGAGUGACCCUGGACAACCAUGAUGAUUCUGAUUAUGAAGUCAGACCUUGUAUUACAGAUGCUCCAAAGACCAAGUUCAAGAUCAAGGCUUUAAAAUUUUAGCAUUCCCGCUCAAUCAAUUUGGUGGCCAAGAACCUGGCUCAAACCUGAAAUGAAGAAUUUUGCAUGUACAAGGUUCAAAGCUGAUACCCAAUUUUUGAUAAGGUGGACGUGAAUGGUCUAAAUACAGGCCCAAUUUACCGGUUCCUCAAGUCCAAGGUGGGUUUUCAAGUGACUUAGUCAAGUGGAAUUUCUAGAAGUUUUGCUGCUGCUGCCUUGCUAUUGCUGUUCGGCUGAUACUGCUGUUCUUCUGAUACUGAUGUUCUUCUGCUGAUACUGUUGUUUGGCUGACACUGCUGUUCUGCUGUUCUUCUUUUUGUUGAUUUAGUUUGACUUUUUAUAAAGUUUUGUUUAUGCACCAAUCCAUUGAACUUUAAUCAUGCAUUAAAGUUGUCAGUAGUGAUAGAAAUAUCCGAAUAUACCAAUCAGGCUUCGUCUAAGACAUUUUUUUUGACAACUAUUCCAAGACAUGUUAUUUUUGUGGUUUUAUUGUUAGUUUUGGGCUUGCGGGUUGUUGCAAGCCCUAGGGUGUUUUUUGGUUGAGGUUGAACAACAAUUGGUUUUCUUUUGUUUAAUAAUAUUUUUUGGAGUUGAUAAA